GCCAGGUUGCCCGAGCGGCCAAAGGGAGCGGACUGUAAAUCCGCCGCGCAAGCUACAUAGGUUCGAAUCCUAUACCUGGCA
rfam:Williamsia sp. 1138 276, whole genome shotgun sequence.